rnacentral:sRNA from 1 species
UGUUGGUGACCAUUCCUCCCAGGGCCCCAUGGGGCUGGCAGCCAGAGCACUGGCCCCACCGCAGGGUGCCCGUCCCUGGCUCCUCGGCUCCUGCAUGGCAGCCAGCUGGCCGCGCCCUGGCUGACCACAGCUCUCUCUCUUCUCUCCCGGCUACAGUUUGCUUCCUCAGGGCUUUUUACUAUCUGGCUCCUUUGGUUUCUGAUCUAGUGGCCUUUCUCAGUUCCCGUAUCAACAGCUUUAGUUGUACACCCCUCCUGCCUUUGAGAUGGCUGUUCCGUCCACUGAGGGACCAGCAGGCCUGGAAUGAUGAGCAGCGUGUGUCUGGGAAACUCUAAAGGGCGACCUGGACAGACCUGAUUGCUUAAAGUUAAAAAAUGCAGUUUUCAGUGUGCCAAACAAAACAUUGGCAGCUUUGAAAGGAUGACAUGCACAGGGUCAUUGACCGGCAGCUGAUGGACACGCACCUGAAAGAACGGAGCCAGCCGGCUGCUGCCCUCUGCAGGGGCCACAGCGCUGGGAGAGGGGAUGAGCCCAGCACCGCUGAAGGCAAAAGACUCUUCUCAUUCUUCAGGAAAAUUUAAGUUGGGAGGAGUCAGGCCACCAAAGAUGGGUGGACUGGAGGCAGCUGGAAAGGCGGUGCAGGCGAAGCCUCCCCUGCAGCUUGCACCUCAGCAGCUGCCCUGCCCCUCAUGCUAGGGCCCCAUGGGUCCGGGAGGGCCUGCUCCCUCUCAUCGGUGGGGAUGGAGACCUAGAGGUGGGGG